rnacentral:rRNA from 1 species
AGAGUUUGAUCCUGGCUCAGGACGAACGCUGGCGGCGUGCUUAAUACAUGCAAGUCGAGCGAGGUUACUGUUUUGGAUCCCUUCGGGGUGAAGAAGCUUUAACCUAGCGGCGGACGGGUGAGUAACGCGUGAGCAACCUGCCUUGCACAGGGGGAUAACAACCGGAAACGGUUGCUAAUACCGCAUGAGACCACACUAUCGCAUGAUAGAGAGGUCAAAGGGAAUAACCGGUGCAAGAUGGGCUCGCGUCCCAUUAGCUAGUUGGUGGGGUAACGGCCUACCAAGGCGACGAUGGGUAGCCGACCUGAGAGGGUGAUCGGCCACACUGGGACUGAGACACGGCCCAGACUCCUACGGGAGGCAGCAGUGGGGAAUAUUGGGCAAUGGGCGAAAGCCUGACCCAGCGACGCCGCGUGAGGGAAGAAGGCCUUCGGGUCGUAAACCUCUGUCAUCGGGGACGAAGGAAGUGACGGUACCCGAGGAGGAAGCCCCUGCUAACUACGUGCCAGCAGCCGCGGUAAU